rnacentral:rRNA from 1 species
AUUGAACGCUGGCGGCAUGCCUUACACAUGCAAGUCGAACGGUAACAGGUCUUCGGAUGCUGACGAGUGGCGAACGGGUGAGUAAUACAUCGGAACGUGCCUAGUAGUGGGGGAUAACUACUCGAAAGAGUGGCUAUUACCGCAUGAGAUCUACGGAUGAAAGCAGGGGAUCGUAAGACCUUGUGCUACUAGAGCGGCCGAUGGCAGAUUAGGUAGUUGGUGGGAUAAAAGCUUACCAAGCCGACGAUCUGUAGCUGGUCUGAGAGGACGAUCAGCCACACUGGGACUGAGACACGGCCCAGACUCCUACGGGAGGCAGCAGUGGGGAAUUUUGGACAAUGGGCGCAAGCCUGAUCCAGCAAUGCCGCGUGCAGGAUGAAGGCCUUCGGGUUGUAAACUGCUUUUGUACGGAACGAAAAGCCCUGGGUUAAUACCCUGGGGUCAUGACGGUACCGUAAGAAUAAGCACCGGCUAACUACGUGCCAGCCGCCGCAGUAAGAC